UUUUUCGUCAUAUCUAAAUGCUUUUUCAACUUGCUUCCUGCACCCACCACUUCUGUGAAAGGCUCCUCAACUGAACCACACAUGGGGACAGCAGUCAGUCUUUGACCCUCAGACCCAGUGGUGUGGGCACUCUGACAGUCUGGUUUCCAUGGCAUGGGACAUGAAUGGGAUCAGUGGUGAAUACACAGCAGAGCAUCAGGAAACAUUUAAAGGUGCAACACCUCCUCAGGAGGCCAAUAGAUUUCAUUAGGAAGCAGGAAAUGGCUCAGAGAGCAGCCACGAGCUUUUCAUUCCAGGUGAAGGUGGGAAGGACCAAGAAUGAGUGGUGGAGUUGGGGACACAACCACGAAGACCCUAAGACGUGGCUAGGAGAGAGGAUCACAGGCUGUCACAGCUGACUGGGCUCAGACAAAGUGCCCACAGCCUUGGGCUCACCAUUUAAAUUAUGGAAGUGUGCAGCUCUGACUGCACAGGAGGAAUAUCCUGGUAAAGCAGGUCCUCCUGUAGAGAGGUCUUGCAGACCCCCCUGUACUUGGCAGUUUAAGGUAUUUUGCAUGAGUCUUUCAACAUGUAGGUGGUACUUGAGUAAAAUUUUUUUGGAUUGACCUUUGAAACUCCUCAGCACUUGGUGUGUUUGGUGCUGGGAUUUUCCUCCUGGUGGUUAUGGAAACAAUGCUCAGAAAAGCCCUGAAAUUCGAAUCCAAGUCCUAAUUCCUUAAACUAUCUCAAUUUAGGUUUUGAUUCUGUGUUUGAAAUACAUUUUAAAUCUCCCAGCUCUCUCUUUGAAAACACGUGUAGAAUCCUCUGUCCCUGGAACAAUGGCAAGGGAUGGGGAACAUCUGCACUGGGAUGGCUGUAGCAGGAGUGCUGUACAGUACUGUGUGUCAGCCUGACAAAUUCCCAUUAAUCCCACCACCGUGCUGGGUUUUACCCACACAUAGACAACAUCGCCAGCACGGCACUCCUGACCUCGUCCUUGUGACCCACAAUGUAGACGAGAUAUCUGUGAUGCUGAGAGAAUGAAACGCUUCAGUUUUACAUGAAAAAAGGGUAUUCAGGCUUCCAGGCCCAGGAGUACAAAUUAUUAAUCACUCCUCACAAGGAAUCCGCAGAUGGAUGUUUAGCACUAUUCACCACGACAUAACUGCAAAUCAAUUAGUUCAUUUUGUCCUACCCUGAGGCUGUCUGGCAGACAAUAGCAAUGUCUUGUGCAAACGUUUUUAUAAAGAAGACACAGGGGGAAGGAACCACAAAGGCCAU